CUGAUUUUUGGGUUAAUUACCCCAAAUUUUAAAUACAAGCCAAUGUACCAUGAAGUUUUUCAAAAAGAUUAAAAGAUCUGUACUGCUAUCCACAUUAUUUUUUUAAAUAAUUCAAUGAAUAAAAAUAGCUCUUUUUAUAGCUUUUUAUUUUAUUUUAUAGCUUAAUACAACAGAGAGCUAUAAAAGAGCAACCUAUGAGCAAAAACAAACAAACAAAAAAAAACAAUUUCUAUGGAAUCCCUUUUAAUUAAUUCAUCCACUCAUUUCACCUCUUCAACACACACAGCAGGAGAUUUAUUCACUUAUCUGAUCACUAAUAUUUAUUGCUUCACUAAUUUCCUCCUAACCCGUUCUCCGCUGCUCCCCUGUUCACCCACCUCCACACCUGAGAUGACAUCAGGGCCUCAUUUAGUGUCAACUUGUAGCUUCUCUUUAAUGAUGGAAGGAUUAGUGUUGUGCAAAUGCUGGGCGCCCAGACACACACACACGCACACAGACACACACACAUGCGUUCCUGCUGUGAGUGACUUUUUAAGAGACUGAUCAGUGUCACUUUGGCAUACUAUCAGUGAAGCUUAACACGACUCUACCCAGCAUGGGCUGCGAUUUUUAUAGCUCACUCAGAGGUGUUACGGGCUUGUCAAAUCUAAAUGGCAAGAGGGACAACAGAGGAAGAGCUAAAGCCCCAAAUGCUAAUGUCUUAGCCCUCAGUGGGAAUCUGGUUUCAGGAGUAAAGGAAAUUCAUACUUUGCAAAAGGAGAUCUCAUGAUUUUCAAAUAAACUAAAACUGAAGGUUGAAAUAACAACACAGAAAUCCAGCUCCAGUACUUGGAAUUACAUUUACAGUACCAUGAGAGCUACGAAAAUGUUAGUGCACCAGUGUCAUCUCGUCCACUGUGGGUGUUGUUGUUUGAGGCUGCCUGUCGAAUCCCCAACAGAUCCCAGCCCUCUGCUGAGCUUAGCUACUGAGCCCUCGCACAAGAGCCAGAUUAAAAGGUUUGGUUGGAAACACAACAGGGAAAGAGAAGGGUUGCCUUUUCCAUUGUCAGCGGCUUUUAUCCCUUGCGAGCUUGUGAAAAUUCAUUCAAAAUUAGCUGUCAAAUUUGCUGAAGAGAAUCAACUGCACUUGACAGCAGAUUAUCAUGUUAAAGAAAGCAAGAAAAUAUAUCAAGUAAUUUAUUUUGUUGCGAUCAAGAAUUCAGCUGGCGCUACGAGCAGUUAAGAUUAACUGUAUUUCAACACCAAAAAAGGGCCAUUUUAAUUGAUCCUCAUUUUUCUUCACUCAAGCCUUGCACAGGUUUUUUUACGGUCAUAGUUAGAAGGCACAUUGCAACCAGUUAAUCGAAAGAUUGCUGUGCAAUAACGAACUACAGAUUCAGAGAAAGUUUUAAUUGGAGAAGAAGAAGGCAUCUUCCCCAUCAUCUUGAGUGAAUUGGGCAAAUCAAAGUGACUGCAAAGUUAAGACAUUCUGAGCAUGCGCUUAAUUAUGAGGAAAAUUAUGCUUGUGAGUAUGUGAAUAAGUGCAAUAUAGAGAAUUAGGUGUUUACUUGUACAUGCAUAUCUAGGCCAACAUGAUGAUAUAUUUGGGUGUGUAUAUCGAGAACAAUUUUAACAGUUUUCUAUUUUUAGGAGGUAAAACUUACCUAUACAAGAAAGUAUUCCCAGAGUUCUUGAAAUGUACCUUCUGUGACAAAAACAGUAAGUGUAACCUUUAAAAUAAAAAAAAAAGGCUCUAUUCACAGCUUAGCUUUAUAGCAUAAACACACACACACAAAUCAACAAACAACAUGAGGUGCUUAAAGGUUUUUUAUAUUUGGCACAAAUCUGACAGCGUUGUCACAGACUUCUUU
rnacentral:lncRNA from 1 species